rnacentral:rRNA from 1 species
AUUGAACGCUGGCGGCAGGCCUAACACAUGCAAGUCGAACGAGUGGCGGACGGGUGAGUACUGUCUGGGAAACUGCCUGAUGGAGGGGGAUAACUACUGGAAACGGUAGCUAAUACCGCAUACCAUCAGAUGUGCCCAGAUGGGAUUAGCUGGUGGGUGGGGUAAAGGCUCACCUAGGCGACGAUCCCUAGCUGGUCUGAGAGGAUGACCAGCCAAACGGGAACUGAGACACGGUCCAGGCUCCUACGGGAGGCAGAAGUGGGGAAUAUUGCACAAUGGGCGCAAGCCUGAUGCAGCCAUGCCGCGUGUAUGAAGAAGGCCUUCGGGUUGUAAAGUACUUGCAGCGGGGAGGCGUUACCCGCAGAAGAAGCACCGGCUAACUCCGUGCCAGCAGCCGCGGUAAUAC